GAUGAACGCUGGCGGCGUGCUUAACACAUGCAAGUCGAACGGAAAGGCCCUGCUUUUGUGGGGUGCUCGAGUGGCGAACGGGUGAGUAACACGUGAGUAACCUGCCCUUGACUUUGGGAUAACUUCAGGAAACUGGGGCUAAUACCGGAUAGGAGCUACUGCUGCAUGGUGGGGGUUGGAAAGUUUCGGUUGUUGGGGAUGGACUCGCGGCUUCUGAGCUUGUUGGUGGGGUAGUGGCUUACCAAGGCUUCGACGGGUAGGCGGCGUGAGAGGGUGACCGGCCACAUUGGGACUGAGAUACGGCCCAGACUCCUACGGGAGGCAGCAGGGGGGAAUAUUGCACAAUGGGCGGAAGCCUGAUGCAGCGACGCCGCGUGCGGGAUGACGGCCUUCGGGUUGUAAACCGCUUUCGCCGGUGACGAAGCGGGAGUGACGGUACUGGGUAAAGAAGCACCGGCUAACUACGUG
rnacentral:rRNA from 1 species